rnacentral:rRNA from 1 species
GACGUAGGGCGCGAGCGUUGUCCGGAUUUAUUGGGCGUAAAGAGCUCGUAGGCGGCUUGUCGCGUCGACUGUGAAAACUCGGGGCUCAACUCCGAGCUUGCAGUCGAUACGGGCAGGCUAGAGUUCGGUAGGGGAGACUGGAAUUCCUGGUGUAGCGGUGAAAUGCGCAGAUAUCAGGAGGAACACCGGUGGCGAAGGCGGCCAACUGGACAGAUACUGACGCUGAGACUCGAAAGCGUGGGGAGCAAACAGG